UACGGAAGAUCCAAGCGUUAUCCGGAUUUAUUGGGUUUAAAGGGUCCGCAGGCGGGAUACUAAGUCAGUGGUGAAAGCCUACCGCUUAACGGUAGAACUGCCAUUGAUACUGGUAUUCUUGAGUGUAGUUGAAGUAGGCGGAAUAAGUCAUGUAGCGGUGAAAUGCAUAGAUACGACUUAGAACACCGAUUGCGAAGGCAGCUUACUAAGCUAUUACUGACGCUCAGGGACGAAAGCGUGGGGAGCAAACAGG
rnacentral:misc_RNA from 1 species